rnacentral:rRNA from 1 species
GACGAACGCUGGCGGCGUGCUUAACACAUGCAAGUCGAACGAAGUGGCGAACGGGUGAGUAAUACGUGAGUAACCUGCCCUCCUUUUUGGGAUAAGCCUUGGAAACGGGGUCUAAUACCGAAUAAAGGGGGAUGGGCUCGCGGCCUAUCAGAUUGUUGGGGGGGUGAUGGCCUACCAAGGCGGUGACGGGUAGCCGGCCUGAGCGGGUGACCGGCAGCAUGGGGAGUGAGGUACGGCCCAGAAGCCUACGGGAGGGGGCGGUGGGGGGUAGUGCCCAAUGGGGGAAACCCUGACGCAGCAACGCGGCGUGGAGGAUGACACGUUUCGGAGCGUAAACUGCUUUCGGUACCUGCUGAAUAAGCACCGGCUAACUCCGUGCCAGCAGCCGCGGUAAUUC